UACGUAGGGUGCAAGCGUUGUCCGGAAUUAUUGGGCGUAAAGAGCUCGUAGGCGGUUUGUUGCGUCGGCUGUGAAAUCCCGAGGCUCAACCUCGGGUCUGCAGUCGAUACGAGCAAACUAGAGUGUUGCAGGGGAGACUGGAAUUCCUGGUGUAGCGGUGAAAUGCGCAGAUAUCAGGAGGAACACCGGUGGCGAAGGCGGGUCUCUGGGCCGAUACUGACGCUGGAGGAGCGAAAGCUAGGGGAGCGAACAGG
rnacentral:rRNA from 1 species